GAUGAAGAACGUAGCGAAAUGCGAUAAGUAGUGUGAAUUGCAGAAUUCAGUGAAUCAUCGAAUCUUUGAACGCACAUUGCGCCCCUUGGUAUUCCAUGGGGCAUGCCUGUUCGAGCGUCAUUUGUACCUUCAAGCUUUGCUUGGUGUUGGGUGUUUGUCUCGCCUUUGCGUGUAGACUCGCCUUAAAAUAAUUGGCAGCCGGCGUAUUGAUUUCGGAGCGCAGUACAUCUCGCGCUUUGCACUCAUAACGACAGCGUCCAAAAGUACACUUUACACUCUUGACCUCGGAUCAGGUAGGGAUACCCGCUGAACUUAAGCAUAUCAAUAAGCGGAGGA
rnacentral:misc_RNA from 1 species